rnacentral:lncRNA from 1 species
AUCAUGAAAAGAGAAAAAAGAUAUAUGCAUGUGUCCUUACGCAUGUACUGCAAAUUCCUAAGGAAACAGGUAGUCUGACAUGUUGCAGAUGCUGUGCUAAUUGCAGCACUGCAUGCUAGUGAUUCUCUUUCCCUCGAUUCUUCUUAGACUUGUCCUGAUGCAUGUCCAGCCUUGUCCAUUUUCAAGCUAAUUGGAAAAACACCAUUUCAUUCAACCCCAAAUGUUUUGCUUCAGAUAACUCAGGUUUAACUGACAUCCCAUGGGGUUCAUGUGCAUCUAGGGUGUGCAGCUCCAGGUGAGCCCUGCCAGAGAAACUACCUUAAUACUCUGAAUCCUACCUGAAUUUCCAGUCUUGAAAGUUUUGGAUAAUACGGAAUAUAAACUGGGUUCUCAUUACAAAUGAAAAAAAAAGAGAAAUGCCUGCAAACUAGAAAUAGGGCAUCUCUGCCAACUCGUUUUAAUAGUGUUGGAAAUUAGAAGCAGAAAAGGUCAUCUUGCCCAAUCCUUUCCCAGUAUUAAAAUGUUUCCCUCUGCACACUCAUGAGCAUCUUCUCAAUUUAUUUUCACAUUAUUUAAGCAAUUGGGCUUAUGCUGGUGCAACAGCGGAUGCUUUGAAGAUACCAUUCUAGCGUUUAAUGUGAUCUACCAUUGGGGUGAACAGCAAAAAAAAAAGGUCCUGUGGUUUUUUUGCUCAGUUUUCCUCAUUAACCCUAAUCGUAAUGCUAUGACCAACUGAACACAGAUAUUCCCUAUUCUGUGUUUACAGAUGUCAGAUAUGUUUUAGGUGGUCAUCACAUCCCCCAUCAUCAUUAUCACCACUUAGACAAGCUGUGUAUUUGCUGCUUCUCUUCAUCUUUCUUCGUAAGCCUGACUCCAUCACCUUAAUUAUGUCUACAGCUCUUCUCUGCAUCAUCGACCUAACUGGUACUGAUGUUUUUGAAAUUCCACUAUAUAACCAUAACAUUAUUAUUAACAGUGAUAAAAAUUCUGCUCUUAAGAUUAUGAGUGUCAUUAUCUCCAUUUAAGAGAGGAAAUCUGCCCAGUUUUCCCAAUCCAGCAUUUAUCUCUAGUCUGCUCUUCAGUACUGUUAACUAAGACACAGGAAACCAACACAAGUUAAUCAAGUUUCAAGAAUAUUUGAGCAUCAGUUUCUUUACACAGGCAUUUAUCUAUUACUGCUUAGGCACACAGGCACUAUGGAGAUAGACAGGGAAUGAAAAACAGUGGAUAGAUAGAAACAGAGACAGAUGCCAUGUAAUAGAAAAUCCAGCCAACAGUCUGAGACUGGAAGAGGAAUGCCAUAUCUAAUUGAAAUGGUGCUCUGCACUUUUGAGCAGUGCUCUCAACAAGGACGGAGACUAUUACCUUCUGCUCUUGGAGAAAAUGCCAUCACUUUCCUAUUUUUUUCCAUCCCCACUAUAGCAGCUAGCAAUUUUCCAGCAUUAAUACUUGAAUAGUUCUUUUCCCCAGCUAUAUUAGUUCACAUUUUUCUAGUUCCACUCACAGUAUAUCCUUGGCCUUCAAAUUUUUCUGAUCUUUUUUGUUACGAGUUUUGGACUUCCAUGACAUCUGUCAAAACACAUAUUUUAAUAUCACUAGUAAAUGGGCAGAGGCCCUGUUUUUUUGUGAGCCACAACCUGGAUAAAGCAGCCCCCAAAUAGUUAUUCUAAAACUUGAAAGGUGAAAGUGAUUUUUUGCUUGACAGAAAACUAAACUAGCACUUGCAAUACCUCUAUGGCCCAACAAGGGGUAAGGGGAACACAUUUUUAAGCCCAACCUGCUAAGAUACCCAGCACUGCAAAGAUGUGGGUUUGCCUUUUUUUCCAAAGGUACUCUUCUCCUUACUGCUAUCAAACUGCACACUAACAAAAAGGGAAUUUAAACCCUGCAGCCAGGAAACUACUGACUUUCCACUGAACAAACAACAGUGUAAUAUCAGAAAUACCUUUAAGGCAGGCUUGGUUGACAAACAGGUGUUUUCUCAGUAAGACAGUUUUCUUAUUGAUCUGUGCUAACAUCUUGCAGAAGUGAACAAUCUCAUUGCCAUGUCAAAGGCUAACCAUCUGUGAACAAGUAAUGCAGCCAGAAAAUCCAUGUUGCUACAAUAAUAGCUUUAGGACGUGGCUCUUAUUUCAAUCACUAGAAAAAGAAAUCCAGAGAAAACAUCUAAAACAUUCUUUUUCUGAUACAUAGUGUAUCUAGAAAAAUACUUUUGCUUACACAAAUUUCAUCUAAAUAAAUUGCAGUAAUCUGCACACUCUAUCAAGCAGGUAAGUUACUGAAAUAAUUGGAAAGUUCAUUUAUUGCAUUUCCUCCUUUGAUAUUGCAAUCACCUUCUCUCAGCCUCAUGCAUCAUAGCCCUUCUCUUAUUUAGAAAGUAUAAUUCCCUGUGGGACAAAUCACCUCUUUAAUAUCUGAAUAUGUACGUUAAUACUUUCAGGAUCGGAUACUUCUCUUUACGUCAAUAAACGGUAUUCAGCCGUACUGGAACCAGAAUUUUAGACUAAAGGCCAUUUUAAAGGAUUGAUAUGCAAGCACAGAAUCAUACUGAGAGGCAAACUAGUGACUCAACUGUGCUAGAAAAGAAAUCUAAUGGAAGGACUUUCGCAGACCAGGAGAUGGUCUUUUUAGAAAUUUUCUAGCUCAGUGAGAUAGCACUAGGUCCUAAAUAAUUGUCAUGUCAGAGGAUGCUGAGGCUGCUGGGAACAAGAUUUGAAUGAGGGAUUUAAUAAUCUGUCUGCUCCCUUAAAAACAUGAACCAGGAUCUUCCUUAUAUCAAGCUGAUGAGUAAUUAUUACUAUUAUUGUUGUUAUUGUUAUCUGCCUUUGAGGAGUUACUGGACAUUGCCCAGUCUAUAACCAAGUGUUAUGUCUAUAGUUAUAUCAUUGAAAAAUCUAAGGUUCUGGCUAGAUCUGGAAGGCUUAAACUUUGUCCUCUCGCUUACUAGUUAUGCUUGGGAAAUAGCCUCACGGAGUACCAGCAGCAUGGCAUCCAGAAACUGUGGUUCCUGUCCUCCUGAUGAUGACCAGCAAGGAGCAAAGAUGAGCUCCUCGUCUCUUCUACCCAGGCAGGAGUGCGUGAGCACAGAUAUUUCAUUGGCACAGUGGAAUACGAAGACGUCUAGCAUAACUAGCAACUACUGAAGUGAAAAGUGAAAGUACCUGCACAUUUACCUUGAAGACAAUGGCGUCAGUGCAGAGGUCAUGGAGCAGAAAGCACAUUGGCCUGUAACAUUUGAGCUCCUGGUCCUGAGAUGCAGCACAGAGUCAGGAAGGGAAUCCUUAAUCCCAAGACUUUUCAGCUCAGUGCACAGCACAAGAGAAAGCUGGGCAGGAAAGAUGCACAAUGGGAUGCAGUUGCCUCAGAUCUUUCCUGCUUUGUUCCUUCAUGUUGUCAUUGCAGCAACCAAAAGCCUACCAUCCCCAGCCAAUGUAGGCGAGCUACCUGUGAGGUCUAUUCAAUUUGUGCAUUAAUAUUCCACUGCUUGCUGCUUUCCAAACAGAUCAAAUCUCCUGAGCAUUUGUGGUCUCCUCCCCACCAUCACUAUUUUGUUGACUUGUUUCAGCUGAAAAUUUGCAUGAUCUUGGAAGCAUUGACUCCAAUUCUUUUUAAACUAGGUUGGAUAAAGAAAGUAUUGUAGAGACUGACAAUAGAACAAACUACUGCAGAGAACUACAAUAGAAAAUACAGCACUGUCAGUAAUUCAGCAAGCUCAUGGUUCUCUCCUUUUGGUCUCUUUCAACCCAAAACCUCAAAAACAACCAAUUGGCACUUCUUGACGUAUAUUUGCAUACUUGUUUACUUUUCAAAGUAAUUAGCUCUUAAAGUAUUACCAGGGAGCUGAACAAAUGUACCGUAUAGUUACAAAAACAAUACAAGAGAAACUGUUUGCGUUUGAAUGAAUUUGCUUUGCUGGUACCAUGCAUGUAUCAGCUGAGUGAACACUUAAUGUUGAACAUUAAUUAUACAAACAAAAGAAAUGGCACAAAGCUGUUGUCUCUGUUAGUUUUCUUCCAAGAUUAAUCCUUGUUUAUGUUAGAGGUUUUGUGUCCUUAAUAAAUUAUUGUGACUGCUUCAAAAGGGGUGAUAUUUAAGAUGAUUGAAAAUAUGCCCUGAUCAAUGCCCUAGACAAACAAGCUCUUAGCUGUUGAUGCUCACUCACUGACCCUCACUCGCUAAGAAAUUCUUUUUAUCAUGCUGUGAAUUUCAUCAGAUGGUCAUCAGCACAAUGGACUGAUGAUAGCUUUGCUCCCUUCUGGCCAGUUAUCUAACAUAUGGCUUUCCAGUCAACUGCUCUUGGUUUUAUGGCUUUUUUUCUGAUCCUCAAGAGAGAGGGCAUUAGAACAUAGUGAAAAAGAAAAGUGUAAAACUGCACUGAAACUUGUUGAAGAAAUACAGGUUUGAAGUGAACGUUUAAACCAAAAUCCCCAG